rnacentral:lncRNA from 1 species
UAAGAAGCUCCCCGAAAAGCCUUGGUGCAUUAUAUAUAUUGUACUCCUAUAUGACAAUCCUAACCGAUCACCUAAUCAGAGAAGAAGAUCAAAUCUAGGAGUAAUAAUUUCUAUCUCCUUAUUGGAGAAUGGAAUGAUGAAGCAUAUCAGACUACAUCUAAGGCCACUAAGUUCACACCAAUAAGGGAGAUAGUCAACUUAUAGAUAAUACUUUUAUAAGGGGAUAUGGGGAGAGUAACAGAGUCAUACAGAGCCCAAAUAUUGGACUCUGCAAAACUGUCAACCCUCAACCACUGCAUUCCCCCCAACUCAUUUAUUUUUCUCACCCUCCUGUACUGUUCCAUCUCCCAUAUACUGGUGUUUCAACACUUCAACAAUAUCAUGCAAAAUCUCAUUUUAGACCAAAGCACUUUUCAUAGUACAAUUAGGCAUUUGAACCAACCAAGCAAUACCUUUAACUUGACAAAGUGCCCCCUGCAUAACAUAUCUCAUGACAUAAUAUGGAUUUCAACAUAUAAUCAAACUGUAUCAAACAGAAAUCUAAUAGCAGAAGUAAUAGAAUUACAUACCGAAACUCUCUAAAUUUCUGAUUUCACCUUGAGAGGUGUGGUAUAGGAGGGUCAGCAGAAGGCGAAGAAUUCAGAGACGGUGAUGUUGCCAUCAGAAGAUGACUACUCACUCCCCUGUAACACACAAAAAUUCACAGAAUUAACCUCUACUAAUAUCACCAAAUUUCACAAACUUCCACCAUUUUUUAAGUAAGCGUGUACUGUGCACAAACUUCCACCAGCCUGUUGUCUGUUAGGAAGUUGCAAGUAAUGACGAAGUAUCCAGCUAGAGGCUUCGGAUCUGAGAGCUUCUAAGCCUUUUUAACAACAUAAAUGACAGAUCGAUCAGCAUCUUAACUAUUCACAUUAACAACAUAGAUAUGAAUGUGUGCUCCUUUUACUAUCUCUCUUACUCCCACAAAAUUCCUCAAAAUGUACAAAACUAUGCACUCCGAGACACAUGCUCAUACAUUUGGAGUCAAUUUCCUGUGAGUGGAAUAGUGAACAAUGCAUCCUAAAACAUAGGUAUAUAUAUUUAUGGAGUAGUCAAGUGGUUUUGCUUAAAUUUAAGAGAAAAUGAAAAAAAGAAGAAAGAGAGAGAUGGAGAUUAUGAAGAAGAAAGCUCGAAAAGAAAUGCCCUAAAAAUGAAUGUAAAGAAAAUGAGCAAGCUGAGUAGUAAAAAAAAGCAUUAUAUUUGUAUGUGUGUUGUGCAACUGAGUAUUCAUAAAUAUUUUAGUAAUGAUAGGCCCAUCAAACCUCAAAUAUUGAGCCUUCAUGCCAGAAUAAAAGUAGCAAUUGAUGUAGCCUGUGCACUCAAUUAUCUCCAUCAUCGC